rnacentral:misc_RNA from 1 species
UCUCCGUAGGUGAACCUGCGGAGGGAUCAUUACCGAGUGAGGGCCUCCGGGUCCGACCUCCAACCCUUUGUGAACACAUCCCGUUGCUUCGGGGGCGACCCUGCCGGGCGCCCCCGGAGGACCAAUCCAAAACACUGCAUUACCUGCGUCGGAGUUUACGAGUAAAUCGAAACAAAACUUUCAACAACGGAUCUCUUGGUUCUGGCAUCGAUGAAGAACGCAGC